CCACAGACCAGCAAAUACUCUAAAAUUCUACCCAGUAGCCUAAUAAAGGUUAAUUUAAAUGCAUGAGUAAGACAGGGAGUCAGAUUUGACAAUAUCUGACUUCCUUGUGCCUCAGGAUAUUUACAUCUAAAAAACCAUCUUCAUAAAGGUUUGUCUUAGAUGUCCGCAUAGGUGGUCCCUGUGAAGUAUUUCUAGAAAUCAGCAGGUGGGAUUCUUGCACUAAGUCUUCACAGCAUGGCUAUGAAUUGUCACACUUCUCUUUCUUUUGACAGAUGCUAAUAUUAUGGAGUUGUUCUAAAGGUGGCUGAUUUAAACAAGAAAGUUUGAACCUGUGCCUGAUACAUUUCACAUUAUUUUAGCAAUCAUUCACAGUGAGAAAGUGAAGUAGUAGCCUUGGACCUUGAAGCCCUCUGGAUGAUGAUCAGAAGAUCUUUCCACCAAAGAACUUCACAAGGUGGUUGUGAGGAUAAAAUGAGGAGGCAUCAGAUAAUGACCUGGAGCUUCUGAAUCCAAACAUCAAAAAUAUUAUCCAGGAUGAGGGAGCAAGAUAAGAAGGAUCCAAAACACUUCAAGACAUUGAGAAACCACAUCAAACAAGUAUUUGUAACCAAGUCUUCACAGCAAACAGGAGCAAGAACAAGAAUCUCUGACAAGAAGUCUUUUACAAAGCCAAUGCCAGAACUUUAGCACAGAGACCGGAAUACAAAUGCACCAAGUACAUCGAGAUGGAUUACAGCAAAGAAAAGAUGGCUUUUGUGGGAUCUGGAUGAGAGACUAGCCUAGUUGCACACAUGUCAUAUGCUUCCUGAACCAAGAUCUUGGCCUAACACGUCCUGAUGAAUAUGGGAUCCAGAUUAUGUUUAAAGGAUAAGAGUCCAGUGUGGAAGUGGAGAGCAAACAGUGUGGGUCUACUCAAUGAAAAUCAGACUGGCUCAAGACAUUUUACUACCUGAGAAGAAGGACAAUUCUACCUCCUCUCCCCACUGCACAUA